CCGUGCUCCUGAGGCCCCAAGGAAGUGCACCGGGCUUUGAAGCCAAUUUGACAUAGGUUAAACGGUUGAAUUACAACUUCCGUGUUUGUCACGUGAUGCCCUCUGGCCCAAAAAGACCUUUUCUAAAAGGCCUACAUGGCAAAAGAGACAUCUGUAAAUCAGUGGAUGAAUGU